rnacentral:rRNA from 1 species
CCUUCGGGUUGUAAACCUCUUUCAGCAGGGAAGAAGCGCCUGGGUUUUCUCAGGUGUGACGGUGCCUGCAGAAGAAGCACCGGCUAACUACGUGC